CCCUCUGCGAGCGCGCUGGGGCUGCUGUCCGCCUGCCCCUCUGCGAGCGCGCUGGGGCUGCUGUCCGCCUGCCCCUCUGCGAGCGCGCUGGGGCUGCUGUCCGCCUGCCCCUCUGCGAGCGCGCUGGGGCUGCUGUCCGCCUGCCCCUCUGCGAGCGCGCUGGGGCUGCUGUCCGCCUGCCCCUCUGCGAGCGCGCUGGGGCUGCCGUAGCAAAGCCCGCAGCUGGCGCUCCAACAAGACACGUGCUUUCUCUCACUCCAGAGGCUGCGAGUGGGCACCAGAGGACCGGCUUCUCCGGAGGCUCCUUCCUCGCUGGCAGAUUGCCCGGGUCCCAGACAUUCCUGUGGCCCCAUCACUCCAGUCCUGCCUCUGGGAUCGCAUCCUCCGGCUCCGUCCAUGCCAUCUGCCUCUGCCUCUCUUACAGGACAUCUAGGGCAGCGAGGCUCCCGCCUGAUAAUCCAGGGUAACAUCUUCAUCUCAAGACCCCUUUUGCAAAGACUCCUUUCCCAGGUUCCAGCGAUUAGGACCUGGGGAUCUUGUAGGGGCGGCUUUUUCAGCCCACCACAUCACCCCGUCCCGCCGCCUAGCGAAUCCCAGGGUUUCAUUAAUGCCUGGUGCCCCGUGGAGAAAGUGGAGGAAUGCAGCCUCCCUGUCAAUGCUUGGAGGGUGGGGAAGUCAUUCCCAAAUGCCUUAGGACGAUUGAAGGCUGCGUGCCCCCAGGGCAGAGAGGGGGCAGGAAGAGGCCCCAAGAAUAGAAAGUAUGACAGGGUCCCAGGUGCAGAUGAAAGAGGAGUGUAACUCAGUGCAUAUUUACCCACUAAUGUUACCUUUGAUCCCAGACUUAAAAUGAUUUAUUUUAAAAAUUCAAGGCGGGCACACAGCCAAAGGAAGCUGUUUCAGAGCAGCCAGAACUUCUAAAAGACAGCCAGUGGGGCUGCAGCCCUAGAGUGAGCCAAGAAUCUUCUAGAGAUGAAAG